rnacentral:rRNA from 1 species
GUCUUUAAGAAAUUAAUUUAAAGUCUAAUCUGCCCACUGAAUUAAAUUUAAAUGGCUGCAGAAUUUUAACUGUACAAAGGUAGCAUAAUAACUUGUUUUUUAAUUAAAAACUAGAAUGAAAGAUUAAAUGAGAUAUAAACUGUUUCAAAUAAAUUAUUAUUAAAUUUUUUAUUUAAGUAAAAAAACUUAAAUAAUUUUUAAAGACGAUAAGACCCUAUAGAAUUUUAUUUAUAAAAAUUAAUUUUUUUAAUUUUUAUAAAUUUUAUUGGGGAAAUAAAAAAAUUAAAUAAAUUUUUUUUAAAUAAAACAUUUAUUAAUGAUUUAUUUAUCUUAAUUUUUAAAUUAAAAAAAUUAAUUACCUUAGGGAUAACAGCAUAAUUUUUUUUAAAAGAUCAUAUUAAUAAAAAAUUUUAU